rnacentral:rRNA from 1 species
UACGUAGGGUGCGAGCGUUAAUCGGAAUUACUGGGCGUAAAGCGUGCGCAGGCGGCUUGCCAAGUCAGAUGUGAAAGCCCCGGGCUCAACCCGGGAACUGCGUUUGAAACUGGCAAGCUAGAGUUUGGCAGAGGGGGGUGGAAUUCCACGUGUAGCAGUGAAAUGCGUAGAGAUGUGGAGGAACACCGAUGGCGAAGGCAGCCCCCUGGGCCAAAACUGACGCUCAGGCACGAAAGCGUGGGGAGCAAACAGG